rnacentral:rRNA from 1 species
GUGAGGAAUAUUGUGCAAUGGAGGCAACUCUGACGCAGCCAUGCCGCGUGCAGGAAGAAGGCGCUACGCGUUGUAAACUGCUUUUAACCGGGAAGAAACCCCAGGACGUGUCCUGGGUUGACGGUACCGGAGGAAUAAGCACCGGCUAACUUCGUGCCAGCAGCCGCGGUAAUACGAAGGGUGCAAGCGUUAUCCGGAUUCAUUGGGUUUAAAGGGUGCGUAGGCGGAGCGUUAAGUCAGUGGUGAAAUCCUGCAGCUUAACUGUAGGCUUGCCAUUGAUACUGGCGCUCUUGAGUGCGCUUGAAGUGGGCGGAAUGUGCCGUGUAGCGGUGAAAUGCUUAGAUAUGGCACAGAACACCAAUUGCGAAGGCAGCUCACUAAGGCGAUACUGACGCUGAGGCACGAAAGCGUGGGGAUCGAACAGGAUUAGAAACCCGAGUAGUCC